ACAUAAAUGGGAAGAAUUUGAGAUUCGUGUUUUUGAGUGGCAACAUGCUAAGUGGAAAUGUACCAGAUUCAAUCUUGAAGGAUGGACUUAGUAUUGAUUUUUCCUACAAUAACCUUACAUGGCAAGGUCCUGAUCAGCCUGCUUGUCAGGAGAACGUGAAUCUAUACAUAAAUUUGUUUAAAAGCUCUCUGAAGGAGAACCCCUUGUAAGAUGCUCCUUUAUUUAUUUUUUAUUUCCUCAUUUUCUAAAGUUUCAU